GGAUUUUUGGAUAUUGUUUUUCUCGUUCCUUUGUGGAGUUGGAACAGGUUUGGCAGUGAUGAAUAACUUGGGACAAAUGGGGUUGGCUAUGGGUUAUGUGGAUGUGUCCAUUUUCGUGUCAUUCACAAGCAUUUGGGGAUUUUUCGGGCGUAUUUUUUCCGGAUCUGUCUCUGAAUACUUCAUCAAGUACGUAAACUGAUCAUUCUAUACAACUUUGUUUUG
rnacentral:misc_RNA from 1 species